rnacentral:rRNA from 1 species
AUUGAACGCUGGCGGCAUGCUUUACACAUGCAAGUCGAACGGCAGCGCGGGAGGGGUAACCUUUCUGGCGGCGAGUGGCGAACGGGUGAGUAAUAUAUCGGAACGUACCUUAUAGUGGGGGAUAACUCAGCGAAAGCUGGGCUAAUACCGCAUACGAUCUUAGGAUGAAAGUGGGGGAUCUUCGGACCUCAUGCUAAAAGAGCGGCCGAUAUCUGAUUAGCUGGUUGGUGAGGUAAAGGCUCACCAAGGCAUCGAUCAGUAGCUGGUCUGAGAGGACGACCAGCCACACUGGAACUGAGACACGGUCCAGACUCCUACGGGAGGCAGCAGUGGGAAAUUUUGGACAAUGGGGGCAACCCUGAUCCAGCAAUGCCGCGUGAGUGAAGAAGGCCUUCGGGUUGUAAAGCUCUUUUGUCGGGGAAGAAACGGUGGACUCUAAUACAGGUCACUAAUGACGGUACCCGAAGAAUAAGCACCGGCUAACUACGUGCCAGCCGCCGCGGUAA